rnacentral:rRNA from 1 species
UACGGGGGGGGUAAGCGUUGUUCGGAAUUACUGGGCGUAAAGGGCUCGUAGGCGGCCAACUAAGUCAGACGUGAAAUCCCUCAGCUUAACCGGGGAACUGCGUCUGAUACUGGAUGGCUUGAGGUUGGGAGAGGGAUGCGGAAUUCCAGGUGUAGCGGUGAAAUGCGUAGAUAUCUGGAGGAACACCGGUGGCGAAGGCGGCAUCCUGGACCAAUUCUGACGCUGAGGAGCGAAAGCCAGGGGAGCAAACGGG